rnacentral:snRNA from 1 species
GUGCUUGCUUUGGCAGCACAUAGACUAAAACUGGACGCUACAGAGGAGGUUAGCACGGGUCCUGGGCAAGAAUGACACACAAAUUUCUGAUGUGUUCAAUAAAAAA